UGAUUUUGCUCUGCAGAUGGAUGACUGUCUUUUCCUUGAAUAGAUGACACUCCUGUGUAUUUAUAGAUAUGGUAUUUCUAGACAUUUUGUGGACCUUUGUUGCCCAAAGGUCCAGUUAACAAACGCGCGGUUCCUAUUUAUAAACUGUGGCGGUGUAUCAACACACACCAUUGCAAUAUUUUUGGCUUAUUAAAGGAAUUAUUAUAUGUCAUCCAUUGUUUCGCCGGGUUGUCAUUAAGAUAGGGAUCAGCAGUCACUGAAAACAUCACGUAGAUCACCGUGGCAAGCUGGAGAUUCACCAGAGGACGCGCUCAGAAAAUAAACAACUCCAAAUUCAGUUAUGGCGUGGAAAUAGCACAGAUAUGUGGCAGACAGGCUGAAACUUUGAGUUUUUCUACUCUGACAGGAGAAGACGAAAAAACGCAUGCUGAUUGGAACAAUUGCCGGAUUUUCUGCGAAUCAAAUCUCUGCAUAUUUUCCUGUUUGGAGCAGAUGUAUACCAAACAGUGGUGACCCCCACUCUCCUUUUCAAUGGGUUCGGGGUGAUGUGCGCCGCUUCUAAGUGGAAACUGUUGCUCUUCAAUCUCAAACAUUGAGCAGAAUGCCAGGAAUUCAAUUGUGUGCAGGCAUUGGGAAAUCUGCAACCUGCGUGUGACUCGACCUGCCGGGUCGCAUCGCCGAUGCCCCGUGGAGCAUGCAGGCUGUCAUACGCGGAACGACUCCAGUUUUUAUACGAGCUUUGGGCAACAAUGUUAAGAGGUUGUCUGAGCUCACUGAUCCCCGACAGCUGCCUGCUGCUGAGCAAGAAGAAGAAGAAGACACGUUGUUUACAGUUGGGCCGGGUGUCAAGUCAAUUUAUCUGUGAUUAUGACUUUGUGCAGAGUCUGUCUGUUAUGAUGAAAUGAAGUGCUGUUUUCUCGCUGGA